rnacentral:rRNA from 1 species
CAGUAGGGAAUCUUCCACAAUGGGCGCAAGCCUGAUGGAGCAACGCCGCGUGUGUGAUGAAGGCUUUCGGGUCGUAAAGCACUGUUGUAUGGGAAGAAAUGCUAGAAUAGGGAAUGAUUCUAGUUCGACGGUACCAUACCAGAAAGGGACGGCUAAAUACGUGCCAG